UAGUGUCCUACAUAUAAACUUCAAUGUAUGUAGUCAAUUCAAGGAUUCAGCUCAGGAUCUCUUUGCUUUCCGAUGGUAAAGUUUUAGUUUUCCAGUAUUGCAGAAACCCCUCUUUUAGGGCCAACAAUUGUUUUAUAUUCUUGAAUUCAACAUAGUGGUUAAAUAGUAUCAAAAUAACAUAGCCUUGCAUGCCAUUUGAAGACAAAAGUUCAGUAAACAUCGUUCAUUGGAAAGUGUUAUUUAUCCAUGCUGCAUUAUGUGAAAUUCAGAUUCCGGAUAUUCUUCUGAAUGAAAGUAAUUAUACUUUUGAAAUGUCCUAGUAAUAAUCUGUAGGUGAUCCUGUUGAUUAGUCUUCAAUUGUAUGUUUAACAUUAACUUGUGCAUGAUGAAUUUUGUUCAUGUAAAAGGAUCAAGUGUCUCUAAUAUUGUCUGUUGUUCUGUGGCAGGUGGUUUUGAACUUGGGAUCUCUCCAAAACUCACAUGAGGCCCAGAUUAGCUGUUUGGGUUUGUCAGCUGAUGGAAGUGCAUUGUGUACUGGAAGUUGGGAUACUAAUUUAAAGAUAUGGGCUUUUGGAGGGCAUAGGAAAAUAAUUUGAGCAGCAUAGUUCUCAUCUCAUAUUGUCUAUCCUCAAUUUCAGCUCUUCUCACACCCAUUAUUCUCCAUGGUUCUCAUAGUAUAUCCUGUGUAGCUUUCUUUCUGUUGUUGAUCAAGUUACUCGGUUUGAGGAACUAGGAUCCAGUGUGUUGCUUGUUGUAAACCUCGAAUUGAAAAACUGGCCAUUUUAAUAUUGGGAAAAGUAUACAUUUCUUUAGAACUUGGGGCCGGAUAAACAGUCUUGGUAUGUAGGUACUCUCACACGAUUUUAAUGUUCUUUGCCUGGGUAUAUCUCACCCUCGGUAUGUAGGUACUCUCA